GUUUUUCAUUUGGUUUGCUGCAAGCUGUGGAAUUCAUAAUGUUGGCUGUUGAAUGUGCUCCCACACCACCAAUGUUGAUAUGCUUUGGCUCCAACAUGCAAGGUCCACUGCAUAGACGUUUCUCAGGGCAGAAGUGAGGGAACAGCAUGCUGAAGAUGGAGGAGGGGAACACAUGGCUGUGGAAGGGUGGCAGAGGGAGCAAUCCUGACUUAAGAUACUUUUAGGACCUAACCUCUCUGCUUAUGGAGUUAGAAGUGGGACCUACAUUAGGCCAGGUAGGAAAGUGGCAGAGGAAAUCACAUAUGGAGCUGACUGGAGGAAUGUGUGUAGAACCAGAAGACUAG